GAACUUUGAAGACUCCCAGUGGUAAAUGGAAGGCCAAAAAUGAGCAAACCUGAGAGCUGCGGUAACUCCUUGAUGGUAGCACUAAAAUGUCAGCCAUGGGAAAAUCUGUGGUCAAGAUUGUACACCUCCAUGGAAAUGGGCCUCAGUUGGACCUUGUGCAUCCUUUACAUCAUGUUCCCCCAAAAAGGGUGGUGGUGGCUGUCACACACAGAAACUCCUGAUUCUUGAUCCAGAAGACUUCUGUUGCCAAAGGGAAAUUACAUCCAAGAGUCCUCAUCCAGCAGCUGAUGGAAGCAAAGGCAGAC
rnacentral:lncRNA from 1 species